UACGUAGGGUGCAAGCGUUAAUCGGAAUUACUGGGCGUAAAGCGUGCGCAGGCGGCUUUGCAAGACAGAUGUGAAAUCCCCGGGCUUAACCUGGGAACUGCAUUUGUGACUGCAUGGCUAGAGUGCGGCAGAGGGGGAUGGAAUUCCGCGUGUAGCAGUGAAAUGCGUAGAUAUGCGGAGGAACACCGAUGGCGAAGGCAAUCCCCUGGGCCUGCACUGACGCUCAUGCACGAAAGCGUGGGGAGCGAUCCGG
rnacentral:rRNA from 1 species